CCGCCUCCAGGAACACUGGCUCCCCCUGCAGGUAGACCAUGGAAUUGCUGACAGACCUCCAGUCAUCUGUGUUGACAAAGCACAGAAGUUAAGAUAACUUCCUUAAUAUAACUCUCUACUAGGCUGAGGAUAUCAUUAAUAUCACACAGAAUGCAAUGCUAAUUUAUUAGCCUUGGUAAAUACUGGGCAGUUACAGCCCGAGUCCCAGGCUUGCAGCACAUUCAUUGGCAUCUUCAGGUAUCAGUCGAAGUGUGGCAUUUUUUGACCAACAGAGAACUGAUUCUUGAACAGGUUCUGUUCAGAAUUUUUUGAACCUUGGUCUAAUCAACAAACCUGCAUUUCCAACUGUUUUGAAUGGAAUCUAUGACAAAGUCCCCCACUUGGCGGCCUUCUUGGUAAUGCACUUCGAGCAGUUAUCGGGAAUCUAUUGGUGCGAUCCAGUUGUCCAAAGGGCCCUUCUUACGAGUAGUAAGAUGACCGAAAAGAAGUUACGCAAAAUGACACGAUGGCACGUCCCCCUAAACACUUCUGACGAGAAGCGAACUUGGACAAGUGAAAGGACCCCCAGUUCAAGUCUUUUUUAGGCAAGUCCCCCACUUGGUGGCCAUCUUGGUAAUGCACUUCGAGCAGUUAUCGGGAAUCUAUUGGUGCGAUCCAGUUGUCCAAAGGGCACUUCUUACGAGUAGUAAGAUGACCGAAAAGAAGUUACGCAAAAUGACACGAUGGCACGUCUCCCUAAACUGUUCUGACGAGAAGCGAACUUGGACAAGUGAAAGGACCCCCAGUUCAAGGGAAAAACUCAGCAGUCCUGCAGCCUGGACAGUGGAGGUCAUCGGUAACCAGUCAUGUAAACCAGCAGACAGCACCAUCUCGGUGGAGGACAAAAGAUUCAUCUGAGGAGGCCUACAUACUCCAUGAGCCUCGGGGUCAUCACCGAGUCGGAUAAAGCUUGGGGGGAAAGGGAC